CACUCCUACGGGAGGCAGCAGUGGGGAAUAUUGCACAAUGGGCGCAAGCCUGAUGCAGCCAUGCCGCGUGUAUGAAGAAGGCCUUCGGGUUGUAAAGUACUUUCAGCGGGGAGGAAGGCAAUACGGUUAAUAACCGUGUUGAUUGACGUUACCCGCAGAAGAAGCACCGGCUAACUCCGUGCCAGCAGCCGCGGUAAUACGGAGGGUGCAAGCGUUAAUCGGAAUUACUGGGCGUAAAGCGCACGCAGGCGGUCUGUCAAGUCGGAUGUGAAAUCCCCGGGCUCAACCUGGGAACUGCAUUCGAAACUGGCAGGCUUGAGUCUUGUAGAGGGGGGUAGAAUUCCAGGUGUAGCGGUGAAAUGCGUAGAGAUCUGGAGGAAUACCGGUGGCGAAGGCGGCCCCCUGGACAAAGACUGACGCUCAGGUGCGAAAGCGUGGGGAGCAAACAGGAUUAGAAACCCCGGUAGUCCCAU
rnacentral:rRNA from 1 species